UACGUAGGGUGCGAGCGUUAAUCGGAAUUACUGGGCGUAAAGCGCGCGCAGGUGGCGAAGUAAGUGAGACGUGAAAUCUCCCGGCCUAACUGGGAGGGGUCGUUUCAUACUGCUUGACUUGAGGACUGCAGAGGUGGGUGGAAUUCCUGGUGUAGUGGUGAAAUGCGUAGAGAUCAGGAGGAACACCGGUGGCGAAGGCGGCCCACU
rnacentral:rRNA from 1 species